AUGAUAUAAUUUUUUCGUUGUUUAAGAUAGACCUUCCCUGCGCGCUGUAAUUGUGCAGAAGCGCGGAAAGCGCGGAAAUAUUUGGUUAUAAGUUAAACUUCCCUCUCGAAUGAAAAAGAAGAGUUAAACAUUUGGAUUGAAAGAAUGAUCAGACCUAAAUCUCAGCUCUCUCUCUCUCUCUCUAAAUGUCCUCUCGAUCUGCCGAAAGCCCAAGCGAUAUUCAAAAGUCUGACACCGACUCAAGGACCGAUGAUGCUUCUAGUUGAUGACGGUGACGAGGAGCGUAGCGAUGUGAGCUCGUCGGUGUCGUAAGCCCUCUUUCCAUUCAUCUCCAAACCAUAACUAACCAAUUAAACAAAUUAUUUCUAGAUUUGUAUGUGUAAGCAUCAGAAAGGCAGGGUAUCACCAAGGCUGUGACGUGCUGGUUCUCUAUGUCGGCCAGGAGAGAUCGGAAAUCAGGGAUUGAAGAAGAACCUUCUCAAUGAAAGAGAAGGCUUCGGAACCCCCAAAGAGCGGUCACGAGGUUGAAGGUGCGUGAACUUCACUCUGUUUUUCUUUGUGCUUUUCGAAUUUGAGCUUUUCUAGAAUCAUUUUGAUUGCAUUGGAUUGAAAUUAAUUGCGAUUCUAUUUGAAUUAAGUACAUUACACUAUUUGAUUUGAGCGGCGCUAAGGGUACGCCUUUGAAGUUCACUCUCGGAAAAGGUGAGGGAAUGUUUGGCCUUUCACUUGUGACUGCUGUAGGUGAAUUGUUGAAUUAAGCUUCUGAGUGGAGUUGAUGCUACCCCACCACAUAGCCACAUCUUCGUUUUUGAUUACUUCCACACUUUCCAUCACUCGCCGCAGUUACGGUUGGCUUCGAGAAGGUGAUUUCAUUUACUCAAUGUGUGUGCUUUAGAUUUAUGUUGGAAUGAGCGAUUGUUCUAGAGGUGAUGAAUGUUAUUGUUCCAGAGCAAUAGUGGUGCCUUCUGGAUUCUUUAAUUUGUCUUGCUUGUCUGGUAAAGUCCACAUAGUUAGUCUGGAUUUGUCUGGAUAUGCCACUUUUCCAAUUAACAAUUUAUCCAUCCUAAUAUUAUACUUAUUUUCACUUUGUUAAGAUGUAGUACUUGUAACAUCCCUUAGGGACGGAAUGAAUCUAGUCAGUUAUGAAUAUGUGGCAUUGCCAAGAUGCAAAGAAAGGGGUCAUUAUCCUUAGUGAGUAAAUGUCUAGACAUGAUAUGGCUAAUGGCUGCAAUAUUGGGGUGACCUUGGAACAACUGGACAUGAUAUGGCUAAUGGCUGCAUUGUUGGACUGCAAGUGUAGAUGAGUAGUCUGGUUUUACUCGGAAGAGAAUGAGAGCUUGCAUUUUCAAUUUAUGAGGUAUUUGAUAUGACUGCUUUUGAUAUCUCCUUUUGUUUUGGCACUGAUCCAACAUCUUCAUCACAUUAGUUACUUGAUAUAUAUAGUUUCAUAAUUGCAAGGUUUAAUUGAGGAGUGGCUCCAAUGUUGACAGCAAUAGGUUUGGCUCUAUCAUUUCUGGCAACAGGUUGAGUUCAUAUGUUUGUUUUAGUGAAUAAGUUUGUACUUACAUAAGCAUUUGCCAAGCAUAAUUAGCUAUAAUGAACCGCGCUCAUGCUACCGCCAGCGGUACCAACAAUCACCAAUGGUAUGACUUACGGAAACACAGCCAAGUAGGCUAUCAC